rnacentral:lncRNA from 1 species
AAAUUAGACUUAAAAACAUUCAUUUCCCUUGACUUUCUCAGGCAUCAUUUGAUGUUAUCAGUGUAAAAAAGUACUAAAGAAUGCAUUCUAUCAUCUUCAUUUAUGUUUCUUUAGAAUAAGGGAGAAAGGAUAGCUCAUACUAUUGCAUUACAGUGUCUGUGUCCCUUUACCUUAACUCCUAGCCUUUUAAAAAUCCGAAAGUUUAAAGCUGUAAAGUGGGAAUAACAUGAGGAACUUUUCUUUUUACAGAUGAGGAAGUUGGAGGUCAGUGAGGUGAAGGACUUGGUUAAGAUCACUCAGGUCAGAAGUAUACAGAGUAUUAAUGACACAAAAACAUUUCAAACUUGCUAAAGAUUAUAAAGCCUGUGAUUUAUUGAAAUUCAGUCUUGAAGCACUGAAGAUUAUUCCCCUAGUAUUGGAACAAGGGUAAGUACUUUGUGUUGUUGCCUAGUGCCAUGAAUCUCUUGAUAUUGAUG